GAUGAACGCUAGCUACAGGCUUAACACAUGCAAGUCGAGGGACCGGCGCACGGGUGAGUAACACGUAUCCAACCUGCCCUUUACUCGGGGAUAGCCUUUCGAAAGAAAGAAUAAUACCCGAUAUAAAGGAUGGGGAUGCGUUCCAUUAGGUGGUUGGUAAGGUAACGGCUCACCACGCCUUCGAUGGAUAGGGGUUCUGAGAGGAAGGCCCACCAGAUGGGAACUGAGACCCGGUCCAAACUCCUAGGGGAGGUAGCAGUGAGGUAUAUUGGUCAAUGGGCGCUAGCCUGACCCAGCCAAGUAGCGUGAAGGAGGAAGGCUUAUGGGUCGUAAACUUCUUUUAUAUAAGAAUAGGUAUUAUAUGAAGAAGGACCGGCUAACUCCGUGCCAGCAGCCGCGGUAAUAC
rnacentral:rRNA from 1 species